UUUGUGUUUGAUACCCUGAGAAGC
rnacentral:piRNA from 1 species